rnacentral:rRNA from 1 species
UACGGAGGGUGCAAGCGUUGUUCGGAAUUAUUGGGCGUAAAGGGAGUGUAGGCGGCUAUGAAAGUCUUCUGUGAAAUCUACGGGCUCAGCCUGUAACGUGCAGAGGAAACUAUCUGGCUAGAGUGUCGGAGAGGAUAGGGGAAUACCCGGUGUAGCGGUGAAAUUCGUAGAGAUCGGGUGGAACACCAGUGGCGAAGGCGCCUGUCUGGCUGACAACUGACGCUGAGACUCGAAAGCAUGGGGAGCAAACAGG